rnacentral:tRNA from 1 species
AGUUAAUGAGCUUGAAAUAAGCUUAUAUUUUGAAAAUAUAAGAUAGAAUUUUUAUUCUAUUAGCUU